ACUCAAAUGAAUUGACGGGAGCCCGCACAAGCAGUGGAGUAUGUGGAUUAAUUCGAUGCAACGCGAAGAACCUUACCAGAGUUUGACAUCCAAGGAACCCGGGGUAAUGCCUGGGGUGCCCUUCGGGGAGCCUUGAGACAGGUGGUGCAUGGUUGUCGUCAGCUCGUGUCGUGAGAUGUUGGGUUAAGUCCCGCAACGAGCGCAACCCUUACGGUUAGUUGCUACGGAAGAGCACUCUAACCGGACUGCCGUUGACAAAACGGAGGAAGGCGGGGAUGAGGUCAAAUCAUCAUGCCCCUUAAGUUCUGGGCCUCACACGUACUACAAUGGCGUUUAACAACGGGAAGCGAACCCGCGAGGGGGAGCAAAUCCCAAAAAGGCGCCCCAGUUCGGAUUGCAGGCUGAAAUUCGCCUGUAUGAAGUUGGAAUUGCUAGUAAUCGCGGAUCAGCAUGCCGCGGUGAAUACGUUCCCGGGCUUUGUACACACCGCCCGU
rnacentral:rRNA from 1 species